UGCUUCAGUGUUAUUCUAAAAUUUGAACGACACAGAGAUUAGCAUGGCACUUUGCAAGGAUGACGUGCAAAUCUGUAAAGCAUUCCACAUUUUU
rnacentral:snRNA from 1 species